rnacentral:rRNA from 1 species
GAUGAACGCUGGCGGCGUGCCUAAUACAUGCAAGUCGAGCGAACGGACGAGAAGCUUGCUUCUCUGAUGUUAGCGGCGGACGGGUGAGUAACACGUGGAUAACCUACCUAUAAGACUGGGAUAACUUCGGGAAACCGGAGCUAAUACCGGAUAAUAUUUUGAACCGCAUGGUUCAAAAGUGAAAGACGGUCUUGCUGUCACUUAUAGAUGGAUCCGCGCUGCAUUAGCUAGUUGGUAAGGUAACGGCUUACCAAGGCAACGAUGCAUAGCCGACCUGAGAGGGUGAUCGGCCACACUGGAACUGAGACACGGUCCAGACUCCUACGGGAGGCAGCAGUAGGGAAUCUUCCGCAAUGGGCGAAAGCCUGACGGAGCAACGCCGCGUGAGUGAUGAAGGUCUUCGGAUCGUAAAACUCUGUUAUUAGGGAAGAACAUAUGUGUAAGUAACUGUGCACAUCUUGACGGUACCUAAUCAGAAAGCCACGGCUAACUACGUGCCAGCAGCCGCGGUAAUACGUAGGUGGCAAGCGUUAUCCGGAAUUAUUGGGCGUAAAGCGCGCGUAGGCGGUUUUUUAAGUCUGAUGUGAAAGCCCACGGCUCAACCGUGGAGGGUCAUUGGAAACUGGAAAACUUGAGUGCAGAAGAGGAAAGUGGAAUUCCAUGUGUAGCGGUGAAAUGCGCAGAGAUAUGGAGGAACACCAGUGGCGAAGGCGACUUUCUGGUCUGUAACUGACGCUGAUGUGCGAAAGCGUGGGGAUCAAACAGGAUUAGAUACCCUGGUAGUCCACGCCGUAAACGAUGAGUGCUAAGUGUUAGGGGGUUUCCGCCCCUUAGUGCUGCAGCUAACGCAUUAAGCACUCCGCCUGGGGAGUACGACCGCAAGGUUGAAACUCAAAGGAAUUGACGGGGACCCGCACAAGCGGUGGAGCAUGUGGUUUAAUUCGAAGCGACGCGAAGAACCUUACCAAAUCUUGACAUCCUUUGACAACUCUAGAGAUAGAGCCUUCCCCUUCGGGGGACAAAGUGACAGGUGGUGCAUGGUUGUCGUCAGCUCGUGUCGUGAGAUGUUGGGUUAAGUCCCGCAACGAGCGCAACCCUUAAGCUUAGUUGCCAUCAUUAAGUUGGGCACUCUAAGUUGACUGCCGGUGACAAACCGGAGGAAGGUGGGGAUGACGUCAAAUCAUCAUGCCCCUUAUGAUUUGGGCUACACACGUGCUACAAUGGACAAUACAAAGGGCAGCGAAACCGCGAGGUCAAGCAAAUCCCAUAAAGUUGUUCUCAGUUCGGACUGUAGUCUGCAACUCGACUACAUGAAGCUGGAAUCGCUAGUAAUCGUAGAUCAGCAUGCUACGGUGAAUACGUUCCCGGGUCU